AACGAACGCUGGCGGCAUGCCUAACACAUGCAAGUCGAACGAAGCCUUCGGGCUUAGUGGCGCACGGGUGCGUAACGCGUGGGAAUCUGCCCCUUGCUUCGGAAUAACAGUUAGAAAUGACUGCUAAUACCGGAUGAAGUCUUCGGACCAAAGAUUUAUCGGCAAGGGAUGAGCCCGCGUAGGAUUAGGUAGUUGGUGGGGUAAAGGCCUACCAAGCCGACGAUCCUUAGCUGGCCUGAGAGGAUGACCAGCCACACUGGGACUGAGACACGGCCCAGACUCCUACGGGAGGCAGCAGUGGGGAAUAUUGGACAAUGGACGCAAGUCUGAUCCAGCGAUGCCGCGUGAGUGAUGAAGGCCUUAGGGUUGUAAAGCUCUUUUACCAGGGAUGAUAAUGACAGUACCUGGAGAAUAAGCUCCGGCUAACUCCGUG
rnacentral:rRNA from 1 species